rnacentral:rRNA from 1 species
UACGGAGGGGGCGAGCGUUGUUCGGAGUUACUGGGCGUAAAGCGCGCGUAGGCGGUGCGGUAAGUCAGGGGUUAAAGGCUGCAGCUCAACUGCAGUAAGGCCUUUGAUACUAUCGCGCUAGAGUACCAGAGAGGAUGGCGGAAUUCCCGGUGUAGCGGUGAAAUGCGUAGAGAUCGGGAGGAACACCAGUAGCGAAGGCGGCCAUCUGGCUGAUAACUGACGCUGAGGUGCGAGAGCGUGGGGAGCAAACAGG